rnacentral:rRNA from 1 species
CAGUCGAGGGGUAUAGGUUUUCGGAUCUAGAGACCGGCGCACGGGUGCGUAACGCGUAUGCAAUCUACCUUUUACAGAGGGAUAGCCCAGAGAAAUUUGGAUUAAUACCUCAUAGUAUUAUGAAAUGGCAUCAUUUUAUAAUUAAAGUCACAACGGUAAAAGAUGAGCAUGCGUCCCAUUAGCUAGUUGGUAAGGUAACGGCUUACCAAGGCAACGAUGGGUAGGGGUCCUGAGAGGGAGAUCCCCCACACUGGUACUGAGACACGGACCAGACUCCUACGGGAGGCAGCAGUGAGGAAUAUUGGACAAUGGGCGCAAGCCUGAUCCAGCCAUGCCGCGUGCAGGAUGACGGUCCUAUGGAUUGUAAACUGCUUUUGUACGAGAAGAAACACUACUUCGUGAAGUAGCUUGACGGUAUCGUAAGAAUAAGGAUCGGCUAACUCCGUGCCAGCAGCCGCGGUAAUACGGAGGAUCCAAGCGUUAUCCGGAAUCAUUGGGUUU